rnacentral:rRNA from 1 species
AUUGAACGCUGGCGGAAUGCUUUACACAUGCAAGUCGAACGGCAGCACGGACUUCGGUCUGGUGGCGAGUGGCGAACGGGUGAGUAAUAUAUCGGAACGUGCCCAGUCGUGGGGGCUAACGUAGCGAAAGCUACGCUAAUACCGCAUACGAUCUACGUAUGAAAGCGGGGGAUCGCAAGACCUCGCGCGCUUGGAGCGGCCGAUAUCAGAUUAGGUCGUUGGUGAGGUAAAGGCUCACCAAGCCGACGAGCUGUAGCUGGUCUGAGAGGACGACCAGCCACACUGGGACUGAGACACGGCCCAGACUCCUACGGGAGGCAGCAGUGGGGAAUUUUGGACAAUGGACGCAAGUCUGAUCCAGCCAUUCCGCGUGCAGGACGAAGGCCUUCGGGUUGUAAACUGCUUUUGUACAGAACGAAAAGGUCUCUAUUAAUACUAGGGGCUCAUGACGGUACUGUAAGAAUAAGCACCGGCUAACUACGUGCCAGCCGCCGCCGUAA